rnacentral:lncRNA from 10 species
AGCAUUAGGGGAGCCCACGGCUACAAAAACAAGUGAGUGAGAAGAGGUGGGAGGAAGAGAAACUACGCCACCUCCCCUGCAGCCGAGUGCACGCAGCAGCCUGGCGUGACAAGUGGGCGACGCCGGGGGGCAGGGAGCCGGGGUCCUUGGCCCUGGCCGGGGACCCCACCGCCCACCGCGCGGAGGACAACUUUUAGCCGGCAGCCCAGACCAGCGCGGCACCUGUCUCCGGAGUCUCCACCGCUCCUCCCGAUUCAUCCCAGGGAAAUUCUCAAGAAUACGCUCUACAAAUCUACGUGCGCAUCAUUUUCACCUCGCGUCGCGCCCGGGAGGAAGGAACGAGGCAAGGAGCUAAAGCAGCGUGCGUUCAGCCCUGGGGCAUUUUAUUAAUGCUUUUACGAGUUAGAAGAGUUGGGAUAAUUUGCCAUCUGGAGUUUCUCUGCCUUGCUGAUCUGAGCUCAGACCUGCCAAUUUACCAGAGAUAAUUGAUAACACCCUGUAACAGCUGAGAGGAAAAUGGAAGAAACGGAGAUACUUUUAGUGAAGCAGAAUAAACCACUGAACAGGAAAAAUGAGGAAGCUGUGAGUACCAGUGGAAGGAACGAGCCAGGAAGAGGGACUGGAACCAUCUCAGAAGCCAUGCCCCUCAGGCUGGAACUUGCCCUGUCUCCUCGCAGAUGAGCUACCUGUAAGAAGAAUCAAGAUAAAGAA